rnacentral:rRNA from 1 species
GACGAACGCUGGCGGCGUGCCUAAUACAUGCAAGUAGAACGCUGAAGGAGGAGCUUGCUUCUCUGGAUGAGUUGCGAACGGGUGAGUAACGCGUAGGUAACCUGCCUGGUAGCGGGGGAUAACUAUUGGAAACGAUAGCUAAUACCGCAUAAUAGUAGAUGUUGCAUGACAUUUGCUUAAAAGGUGCAAUUGCAUCACUACCAGAUGGACCUGCGUUGUAUUAGCUAGUUGGUGGGGUAACGGCUCACCAAGGCGACGGUACAUAGCCGACCUGAGAGGGUGAUCGGCCACACUGGGACUGAGACACGGCCCAGACUCCUACGGGAGGCAGCAGUAGGGAAUCUUCGGCAAUGGACGGAAGUCUGACCGAGCAACGCCGCGUGAGUGAAGAAGGUUUUCGGAUCGUAAAGCUCUGUUGUAAGAGAAGAAUGAGUGUGAGAGUGGAAAGUUCACACUGUGACGGUAUCUUACCAGAAAGGGACGGCUAACUACGUG